rnacentral:rRNA from 1 species
UACGUAGGGGGCAAGCGUUGUCCGGAUUUAUUGGGCGUAAAGCGCUCGCAGGCGGUCGGAUAAGUCGAAUGUGAAAGCCCCCGGCUCAACUGGGGAGGGUCAUUCGAUACUGUUCGACUCGAAGGCAGGAGAGGGAAGUGGAAUUCCCGGUGUAGUGGUGAAAUGCGUAGAUAUCGGGAGGAACACCAGUGGCGAAGGCGACUUCCUGGCCUGUUCUUGACGCUGAGGCGCGAAAGCUAGGGGAGCAAACGGG